CUCCAUUUUCUCCCUUGUUUCUUCCUUUUUAUCCUUCCUCUACAUGAAGUUCUUACCUUUUCCUUCUCCAUACCUGAAAUUGAAGUGGAUUGCAAAGGAAAUUUAGGUGUGAGAACUGAUGCCUUGGAGUGGGGAAAAUCCAGCAAAAAUCAGGAACUAUAUACUUGAAUUUGUAGCAAAUUAGCAUCCAAAAAUUUUAAGAGGCUAUAGCACCAGACAAUGACUAAGAUGAUCCAUCGGUGAUUUUGGCAGUAAACAAGUUAAUUAUAAUGUUGUUAGCUUAAAGGUAAGCAAUUAUAC